rnacentral:misc_RNA from 1 species
GAUGAAGAACGCAGCGAAAUGCGAUAAGUAGUGUGAAUUGCAGAAUUCAGUGAAUCAUCGAAUCUUUGAACGCACAUUGCGCCCCUUGGUAUUCCAUGGGGCAUGCCUGUUCGAGCGUCAUUUGUACCUUCAAGCUUUGCUUGGUGUUGGGUGUUUGUCUCGCCUUUGCGUGUAGACUCGCCUUAAAAUAAUUGGCAGCCGGCGUAUUAAUUUCGGAGCGCAGUACAUCUCGCGCUUUGCACUCAUAACGACAGCGUCCAAAAGUACAUUUUACACUCUUGACCUCGGAUCAGGUAGGGAUACCCGCUGAACUUAAGCAUAUCAAUAAGCGGAGGA